ACUCAAAGGAAUAGACGGGGACCCACACAAGCGGUGGAGCAUGUGGUUUAAUUCGACACUAAACGUAGGACCUCACCCAGGCUUGACAUGUCUGGGACCCGCCGGAAACGGCGGGGUGCCCGCAAGGGAAUCAGAACACAGGUGUUGCAUGGUCGUCGUCAGCUCGUGUCGUGAGAUGUUGGGUUAAGUCCCGCAACGAGCGCAACCCUCGUCGAUAGUUGUAUUUCUCUAUCGAGACUGCCCGGGAGAACUGGGAGGAAGGUGGGGAUGACGUCAGAUCAGCAUGACCCUUAUGCCUGGGGCCACACACGUGCUACAAUGGUGAGGACAAUGGGCUGCAAACCCGCGAGGGGGAGCAAAUCCCUUAAAACUCACCUCAGUUCGGAUUGAGGGCUGCAACUCGCCCUCAUGAAGUUGGAAUCGCUAGUAACCGCCGGUCAGCCAUACGGCGGUGAAUAUGUUCCUGGGUCUUGCACACACCGCCCGU
rnacentral:rRNA from 1 species